AUAAACUAUCACGACGCCCAAAUAGUCGUGGCUUGGGUUCUGCCAGCUGACGUGAUUUCCCCUGAGUACAUUGUAUUUGGGGGUGUCAGAACUAUGGCUUUUCCCUAAUAAGUCCGGUUACAAUCACAUAUUGGCAUUUUGCUUUUAUGGGAUGUGGCUGCGGAGUCGUGGCUCAAUGUUGAUGUGCGCGCUCCGUAUGUUCAUCUGGUUUGUGUUGUUAACCAUGACCCGCGCUUCGGCGCUCUAUUUCCUGACCUCGGAUCAGACGUGAUUACCCGCUGAACU
rnacentral:misc_RNA from 1 species